AUUUGACGUUAUUACAUCAUCAUAUCAUACAGCAUAAUAAAUAUUGAUUAUAGCUGUUUAAGAAAAAUAAUAGAGCUGUUGAUUUAUCCCUGUCAUGUUUUGUGAGGAGACAUUACAGAUUAUUGUUGUCUCGCUGUUUGUCGUCACUGUCCAACAAGUUGAAUCUGAAGUGUUGUGUGUUGUGACUCCAUGGAAACGAGCAGCAGCAGCCUCCCUUGUCUCCCUCAUUUAAGAGGCAUCGGCUUUCAAAGGAGAAGAAGAGGAGGAUGAGGAGGCUGAAGAGGUUUGUGUGUACGUGUGUUUAUGAUCUCUACGUUAUGUCCAUACAGCGCCAGUCUCUGUCACAAAGUGAAGGUCACAGUUACUGGGACGGGACGUGUUCUGGUAGUUGCAGGACCGGUGGAGUCAGGAGCAGAACAUGUUUGUCACGGUGCUGCUCGGUGCAGGAUGGAAAUCUUCAAUCUCAACUGCAAAUUGAUAAACUUUAUCCAUCAUCUAAAGGAGAGAUGCGGUCUGGACUUCAAAGGCACUGAACAGAUUCCCACAACAUUAGUGGGUUGGACUUGUAUCAUCCUUUUAUCAUUUUUAAAAUCCUCCAUUAAGGGGUAGCAGCGUGCUGGUCGAGAGGCAACGCUACGUCCUGCUGCUGGUGUCCCGUGAGUGCACCUCGAUUGACUGGUCAAACACAUUUACGGAACAAAGAAAUGAUUGUGCUUUUUAACAUUUCAAUGGUGGCACAUGUUUUCCGGAUGAAAGCACAAUCGUUCUCAUGUCUGAGAAGUUAAAGUGUCACAUUAUUUUCACUAUAUAGAUACAUCCAUAUUUACAAUGCAUUAGUAUGUUACAUGUUGUUUAUGAGGAUAUGGAGGAUGUCAUAACUCAUUUAGUGUAUUCUAUUGAUAGCUUCAAUGUUGCACAAAGGACAUAGUUUACAAACAGUUUCAACCACAAAGGUUUUGAAACAGCCACUUAAACGUUUGCGAAAUCUGGGAAUUUCCUGGGAAAAAACAUUUUGUAGUUACUUCGAAACAUUUGUAUCCAGCUGCGGACAAAAUAUACGAUGGUAUGAAAAUUGCAG
ensembl:lncRNA